GAUGAACGCUGGCGGCGUGCCUAAUACAUGCCAGUCGAGCGAACGGACGAGAAGCUUGCUUUUCUGAUGUUAGCGGCGGACGGGUGAGUAACACGUGGAUAACCUACCUAUAAGACUGGGAUAACUUCGGGAAACCGGAGCUAAUACCGGAUAAUAUUUUGAACCGCAUGGUUCAAAAGUGAAAGACGGUCUUGCUGUCACUUAUAGAUGGAUCCGCGCUGCAUUAGCCAGUUGGUAAGGUAACGGCUUACCAAGGCAACGAUGCAUAGCCGACCUGAGAGGGUGAUCGGCCACACUGGAACUGAGACACGGUCCAGACUCCUACGGGAGGCAGCAGUAGGGAAUCUUCCGCAAUGGGCGAAAGCCUGACGGAGCAACGCCGCGUGAGUGAUGAAGGUCUUCGGAUCGUAAAACUCUGUUAUUAGGGAAGAACAUAUGUGUAAGUAACUGUGCACAUCUUGACGGUACCUAAUCAGAAAGCCACGGCUAACUACGUG
rnacentral:rRNA from 1 species